rnacentral:rRNA from 1 species
CCUUAAUUCCUUGCCAAGUAGAACGCUGAAGAGAGGAGCUUGCUCUUCUUGGAUGAGUUGCGAACGGGUGAGUAACGCGUAGGUAACCUGCCUUGUAGCGGGGGAUAACUAUUGGAAACGAUAGCUAAUACCGCAUAACAAUGGAUGACACAUGUCAUUUAUUUGAAAGGGGCAAUUGCUCCACUACAAGAUGGACCUGCGUUGUAUUAGCUAGUAGGUGAGGUAACGGCUCACCUAGGCGACGAUACAUAGCCGACCUGAGAGGGUGAUCGGCCACACUGGGACUGAGACACGGCCCAGACUCCUACGGGAGGCAGCAGUAGGGAAUCUUCGGCAAUGGGGGCAACCCUGACCGAGCAACGCCGCGUGAGUGAAGAAGGUUUUCGGAUCGUAAAGCUCUGUUGUAAGUCAAGAACGAGUGUGAGAGUGGAAAGUUCACACUGUGACGGUAGCUUACCAGAAAGGGACGGCUAACUACGUGCCAGCAGCCGCGGUAAUACGUAGGUCCCGAGCGUUGUCCGGAUUUAUUGGGCGUAAAGCGAGCGCAGGCGGUUUGAUAAGUCUGAAGUUAAAGGCUGUGGCUCAACCAUAGUUCGCUUUGGAAACUGUCAAACUUGAGUGCAGAAGGGGAGAGUGGAAUUCCAUGUGUAGCGGUGAAAUGCGUAGAUAUAUGGAGGAACACCGGUGGCGAAAGCGGCUCUCUGGUCUGUAACUGACGCUGAGGCUCGAAAGCGUGGGGAGCGAACAGGAUUAGAUACCCUGGUAGUCCACGCCGUAAACGAUGAGUGCUAGGUGUUGGAUCCUUUCCGGGAUUCAGUGCCGCAGCUAACGCAUUAAGCACUCCGCCUGGGGAGUACGACCGCAAGGUUGAAACUCAAAGGAAUUGACGGGGGCCCGCACAAGCGGUGGAGCAUGUGGUUUAAUUCGAAGCAACGCGAAGAACCUUACCAGGUCUUGACAUCCCGAUGCUAUUUCUAGAGAUAGAAAGUUACUUCGGUACAUCGGUGACAGGUGGUGCAUGGUUGUCGUCAGCUCGUGUCGUGAGAUGUUGGGUUAAGUCCCGCAACGAGCGCAACCCCUAUUGUUAGUUGCCAUCAUUCAGUUGGGCACUCUAGCGAGACUGCCGGUAAUAAACCGGAGGAAGGUGGGGAUGACGUCAAAUCAUCAUGCCCCUUAUGACCUGGGCUACACACGUGCUACAAUGGUUGGUACAACGAGUUGCGAGUCGGUGACGGCAAGCUAAUCUCUUAAAGCCAAUCUCAGUUCGGAUUGUAGGCUGCAACUCGCCUACAUGAAGUCGGAAUCGCUAGUAAUCGCGGAUCAGCACGCCGCGGUGAAUACGUUCCCGGGCCUUGUACACACCGCCCGUCACACCACGAGAGUUUGUAACACCCGAAGUCGGUGAAGGUAAACCCCUUUUUUGGG